rnacentral:rRNA from 1 species
AGAGCGAACGCUGGCGGCAGGCCUAACACAUGCAAGUCGAACGGACUCUUCGGAGUUAGUGGCGGACGGGUGAGUAACACGUGGGAACGUGCCUUUAGGUUCGGAAUAAGCUCGGGAAACUGGGUCUAAUACCGAAUGUGCCCUUCGGGGGAAAGAUUUAUCGCCUUUAGAGCGGCCCGCGUCUGAUUAGCUAGUUGGUGGUGUAAUGGACCACCAAGGCGACGAUCAGUAGCUGGUCUGAGAGGAUGACCAGCCACAUUGGGACUGAGACACGGCCCAAACUCCUACGGGAGCAGCAGUGGGGAAUCUUGCGCAAGUGGGCGAAAGCCUGACGCAGCCAUGCCGCGUGUAUGAUGAAGUCUUAGGAUUAGUAAAAUACUUUCACCGGUGGAGAUAAUGACUGUAGCCGGAGAAGAACGCCCGAUAACUCGUGCCAGCAGCCGAC